rnacentral:rRNA from 1 species
ACGGGUGAGUAAUACGUAGGAACUUGCCUUGGAGAGCGGGACAACUCGGGGAAACUCGGGCUAAUACCGCAUGAUAUCGCGAGAUCAAAGUAGGGGACCUUCGGGCCUUACGCUCUGAGAGAGGCUUACGUCGGAUUAGCUAGUUGGUGGGGUAAAGGCCUACCAAGGCGAAGAUCCGUAGCUGGUCUGAGAGGACGAUCAGCCACACUGGGACUGAGACACGGCCCAGACUCCUACGGGAGGCAGCAGUGGGGAAUUUUGGACAAUGGGGGCAACCCUGAUCCAGCAAUGCCGCGUGUGUGAAGAAGGCCUGCGGGUUGUAAAGCACUUUAGGUGGGGAGGAAAGCCAGUGAAGUAAUAUUUCAUUGGGGUGACGUUACCCACAGAAUAAGCACCGGCUAACUCUGUGCCAGCAGCCGCGGUAAUACAGAGGGUGCAAGCGUUAAUCGGAAUUACUGGGCGUAAAGCGCACGUAGGUGGUUGAGUAAGUUUGAUGUGAAAGCCCUGGGCUUAACCUGGGAAUUGCGUUGAAAACUGCUUAACUUGAGUCGGAUAGAGGGCAGUGGAAUUUCCGG